rnacentral:rRNA from 1 species
UUUCUGAUCUUGAGAGAAUUUGUCCGGGAUAUGUGAGUUUAUUCUUUCUUUUGUGGGAGAUAGAUUCUGAUCCUGUUUUAGACUUAUUCUUUCGAUCAUCCUUCGUGGAGAACAGUCAUGUGCGCUUCAUUGCGUCGGGCUGUAAUCCCGAUCAAUUACUUUGAAAAAAUUAGAGUGUUCAAAGCAGGCUUACGCUGUGAAUACAUUAGCAUGGAAUAAUAAUAUAGGACUUUGGUCUUAUUUUGUUGGUUCUGAGGACUAAAGUAAUGAUUGAUAGGGAUAGUUGGGGGUGCUAGUAUUCAACGGCCAGAGGUGAAAUUCGGUGAUUCGUUGAAGACUAACUCAUGCGAAAGCAUUCACCAAGGAUGUCUUCUUUAAUCAAGAACGAAAGUUGGGGGAUCGAAGACGAUCAGAUACCGUCGUAGUCUCAACCAUAAACUAUGCCGACUAGGGAUUGGUGGAUGUUGUUUUUUGUGACUCCAUCAGCACCUUAUGAGAAAUCAAAGUCUUUGGGUUCCGGGGGGAGUAUGGUCGCAAGGCUGAAACUUAAAGGAAUUGACGGAAGGGCACCACCAGGAGUGGAGCCUGCGGCUUAAUUUGACCCAACACGGGAAAACUUACCAGGUCCAGACAUAGUGAGGAUUGACAGAUUGAAGAUCUUUCUUGAUUCUAUGGGUGGUGGUGCAUGGCCGUUCUUAGUUGGUGGAGUGAUUUGUCUGGUUAAUUCCGUUAACGAACGAGACCUCAGCCUGCUAAAUAGUUGGGCGAAUACAAUGUCGUGCUUUGUAGUGUUUUUGUUUGAGUCUUUGAUUCUUACUUAAUACUCGGUGCGAUAAUUCGUGAUCAACUUCUUAGAGGGACUUUUGGUUUUUAGCCAAAGGAAGUUUGAGGCAAUAACAGGUCUGUGAUGCCCUUAGAUGUUCUGGGCUGCACGCGCGCUACACUGGCACGUUCAGCGAGUAUACAACCUUGACCGGAAGGUCUGGGUAAUCUUUGAAACCGUGCCGUGAUGGGGCUAGAUUAUUGUAAUUAUUAAUCUUAAACGAGGAAUUCCUAGUAAGCGCAAGUCAUCAGCUUGCAUUGAUUACGUCCCUGCCCUUUGUACACACCGCCCGUCGCUCCUACCGAUUGAAUGAUCCGGUGAAAUCUCAAGACUGAGACCUGUGGAAGAGAUGGUUUAUCUAUCUUUUAUCACUAGUUUUGGGAAUUUGAUUAAACCUU